CUCUACUCAUGACUUCUUUCUCAGAGCAACUGCUGAGAUGUUUGAUAAUGCCUGGGUGUAAAGCUGAUUCACUACAGCAAGCCUCGUACACUUGGCAGGGUUAUGAAGUUUCUGUGUUUAGGCGGCAUCGAUCACUUUGAAAUACCUUCUAAAUAGAAUGACUGAAUUGAUGCAGCUGUUUGGUGCCAUCUGUGGUGUAAAUGUCUUCUGUCUUCCUUCAUGCACAUAUAGAUGAAUUCUCUGUAGUUUCUCCAGAGGUGAUAACGACAAGGCUCCUUCCCUCUGGAAACACAUGCAACUUUGCUGGCAUAAUAGAAACACCGAAAGGGAGAACCAGCAGCAGAUGCAGAUUACUCUUUCGGCAAGUGGAAAGGAAAUACAGAAUCUGGAUUGUCUUCUUGGGACAGAUUUCCUUCAGUGCUGAGUUAGGACAUCUUUGGGAAUAUUUCCUGAGAAGCAGAAGGACUGGGAUAAGCAAGUGGAAACCUAAAGGGGCAGCUGACAACAGAGUGGUGUUGAAGCCGAUUCAUCCUAAAGGGCAGUCCACUCACCCUCACUCAAGAGAACAGAAAGGUGAAGACCAGGGUGUUAAUUUACAAGCAAUUAGCCCUGAAUGAACCACUUGCUCUAGGCUGGUGAACUUUGGGACUUCGAACUUUGGCUUUGGGGACCGCUGUUAAGCCCUUGUUCACAUGCUUCACAUGAGAACCCUCCUCUGAUGACUUCUUCACAGCUCUGAACUUUGUUUAAAAGACCAGACAACUGGGCCAAGGACAGGUUGUGAUAGCAGCAGCAGUAACAUAAGGUAGAGGAAAACAAGGUGCUUGUCCUCGUGGGGGACUUCAACUUCCCGGACAUAUCCUGGAAACACAACACGGCACAGAGAAAGCAGUCUAGGAGGUUUCUGGAGAGCGUGGGAGA
rnacentral:lncRNA from 1 species